rnacentral:misc_RNA from 1 species
AACGCACAUUGCGCCCGCCAGCACUCUGGCGGGCAUGCCUGUCCGAGCGUCAUUUCAACCCUCAGGCUCACCCUCCCCCCCGCCCGUCCCGGGUUGGGGGGGGGAGAGGCCUGGCGUUGGGGCUUCUGCGGGGUUGCCGUCACAGGCACCCCGCAGGCCCUCAAGACCAGUGGCGGGCCCGCCUGGACCCCGAGCGCAGUAGUUUACCACCUCGCUCAGGGGGCUCCGGGCGGGUCUCCGGCCGUCAAGACACCAACUCUCAGAAGGUUGACCUCGGAUCAGGUAGGAAUACCCGCUGAACUUAA